CAGAAGUCAUCUACCCCGAGCCAUCAUCUUGCAGGUUACCGAGGGCUCAAAAAGACUCCUGGCUAGUAUAUCCUCACCUUCGUUCAAAUUGUUAAAAGGAGGAAGGCAAAAAGCAGCAGGGAGAAAAGCCAGCAUGAAUGGGAUAGAUGGAGAGGUGGACACAGGACACAGACAUGGGACCUUUGCAGUUGAACCUAUAAAGAAUUCUCCCAUUUAUUGGAGAGCCUACAUGCAAAGACUGACACUCUGUUGGAUGAACUUCAUCACUGCUCAUGUCCAGACAUCAUCAACUAUGAUGCCUUCUCUCAGAGCAAACGCCAGUAACUUAAACCUGCUCUAAUUCAGACUUAUGUAUACAUCCAAUUCUUAGAACAGACUUUCUAUUAAA